UACGUAGGGCGCAAGCGUUGUCCGGAAUUAUUGGGCGUAAAGAGCUCGUAGGCGGUCUGUUACGUCCGCUGUGAAAACCCAGGGCUUAACCCUGGGCUUGCAGUGGAUACGGGCAGACUAGAGGCAGGUAGGGGGAGAAUGGAAUUCCCGGUGUAGCGGUGAAAUGCGCAGAUAUCGGGAGGAACACCGGUGGCGAAGGCGGUUCUCUGGGCCUGACCUGACGCUGAGGAGCGAAAGCGUGGGGAGCGAACAGG
rnacentral:rRNA from 1 species